CAGCGGAAGCUGCUUUUGUUGUACACAGGUUUAACUUGAAAACCAUUCCAUUGGACUGGUAUUGGCUACUAGGUUGAGAAGGUCUUUGAGCUCACAUAUGGAAUCCUCAGAAGUGAGCCUGGACUAACUUAUGAUUUCGGCGGUCUCUGUGUGCACUAAGGUCAAAUUGAGAACCAUUCCUCUAGUUGAUUUAGACCACUGAGAAGUCUUCUUGGGCUCUGAGAUGGCUUGGGGCUUUGAGAGCAGAAGGAUGGCAGACAAUGACAGAUAUCAUAUACUUGUUCUGC
rnacentral:lncRNA from 1 species